UAGGACGACCAUAGGGGUUUGGUUCACCCGAUCCCAUUUCGAACUCGGCAGUUAAGCAAACUUCCGUUUCAUGUUGUACUGAUCUUUUGAUCGGGAAGCGUGGAAAGUUGUCCACU
rnacentral:rRNA from 1 species